GUGAGAAAUAGACAAGCCUUUCUACGGUAUUUAUUUGUACAAUUCAGGUAGUCUUGACCUAUUCAUUUGUCUUAAAAAAAACAGCCAGUUGUCAUCUUCACUUCACACACACACACACACACACACACACACACACACACAUAGGAAUAUCAAUUAUAUGCUUACGAGACAUGUUGCAUUGUUAAACUAAUUACGGUAUGUGAAAAUCAAGACUUGCAUAAAAAAUAUCCCAAUAUUAGAGACAGUGGCGUCAUUUUUCCUCAGA
rnacentral:lncRNA from 1 species